CCACAGUUGAGUCUAGUACCCUAUAGACCCGUAGUUUUGAGCCUAGUACCCUCUAGUCCCUCGUAGCUGAGCCUAGUACCAUCUACCUUCUUGUAACUGAGCACAGUACACUCUAGCCCCAUGUAGCUUAGCUCAAUACCCUCUAACAAAUAUAAGUAUCGAAGAACCUAUAUGGCAUAAGAUAAACAAUGAAAAAAUAAAGAAA